GCCUGGGUGGCUCAGUGGUUGGGCGUCUGCCUUCCACCCAGAGCGUGAUCUGCAGUCCUGGGAUCAAGUCCCACAUCGGGCU
rnacentral:tRNA from 1 species